AGGUGAUUAGAAGUCCAUUAUCAGUUCUGUACUUUAUUAACAUCUUCAAUUUUAUAUUAAUGUUUAACCACUGUGAGUGCCUGGACUGUAGGUUUUGUAACAUGAAGAUAUGAACUGUUGUGACAUAUUUGUGUUUAUUUCAUGUUAGGAAAUUCACAUUCAAAAGGAACCAUAUUAGAUAUGAGCGAGAAAAUGUAAUUGUACUAGGGAGAUGAUGAAUAACUUAUGUGCUUUACUGUUCUGUUUUGGAUGGUAAUGACUAGGAUUGCAUUGUUUCUGGUUGUUUGAACAUAUUGUAAGAUGAUAAAUGUUUCACAUGGGUGAAUGAGUUAGCAAGUACACCACUUGCAUCAUGAAAUAAUAAAUGGUUGAUCAGUAAAUGUAGCACUUGAGAGGAUUUUAUUUUCAAGAAUGGGCUAUAAACAAGAAUAGAAGCAAUUAGUGAAUCUAUGAUUUCAUGCCAAUAUCUUGUUUUUCUUGUUCAUUUUUAUAAUCUAACUGCCCUGGUAUUAUGUUUUGUUAAUUUGACGUAAAAUUUUCUUCUUCAGCUGAACGAAAGAGACGUGCUGAAGAAGCUCAACAAUCUGCUACAGCUAAUGGUACAACUACUGAGAGUGGCAGAAGACCAGUAAGUUGGAUUUACAUUGUAGUUUGUUUUUCCUUUCUCCCUUCCAUCUCUCUGUCUCUCUCCCCUUUUAUCAACAAUCUUUUAUCGUUGGUGUAGGCAUUGCUCACCUGUUCUUUUCGCUACUGAAUAAAAAGAAUUUUGAAUGAUGUUUGUUUGACAUCUCUUGAAGUUAAUUGUUUACUAAUGACCUUCAGAUCUUAUCAUUGAUCACUGCAAUCAAAAGUAUCACAGAUCCCAUUAGAACUUCUUAUCGACUGUGCAUGAACUACACAAUUUUUUUUUUUUUUAAAGUGUGUCUGACCAAUUUGCUUGUUAUGUAUUUUCUCUAUGAAUCUUCUAUAGGCUUCUUUCCGACAAGGAAACCGGGGUGAACAGGAAACUGCUCCACCAAAUAAUAUAUUGUUUAUACAGAAUUUGCCAUAUGAAACUUCUAGCAUGAUGUUGCAAGUGCUCUUCCAACAAUAUCCAGGAUUCAGGGAAGUCCGAAUGAUCGAGGCAAAGCCAGGUAUUGCAUUUGUAGAAUAUGAAGAUGAUGUGCAGUCCUCCAUGGCCAUGCAGGCCCUUCAGGGUUUCAAAAUUACUCCUCAAAAUCCGAUGGUUAUUGCUUAUGCCAAGAAGUAAUCUAGAGUGUUGUCUUCUAUUUCUAGCCUUAAUAAAACAGUACUAUAGGAUAUGAGGAUUGAAGAAUUUCUUUCACAACCUGGAUUUAGAUUUAUAAUACAAAUGAGAAUAUUAUACUGAUCUGAAUUUUGUAUCAACUUGACCUUUUAAUGGCAUUCUUGUAUGCGAAGUUGGGUGGAGGAACAACUCAUGCCUUGUUUUGGCAUUGAUUUUUCAGGAUUAAAAAAGCGCUAUAAUGAACACUAUUUUAAAUGUUAA
rnacentral:misc_RNA from 1 species